rnacentral:lncRNA from 1 species
UUCCUCAUCUGUGAAACGGGAACGGAUGUGGCUUCUUAACCAUUACGCUGUGUCCGUCACAGUCAUUCUCACUUCUCGAGUACCCAGUUGGUGGGAGUUCCAGUAUGGCACAGAGAUACAGGAUUGUGUUUUUGUUUUUUCACUCUGGAAUGAUCUUAGAGAAAUUUGAUGGGAAAAAUGAGAGCAGGGAAGGGUCAAAGGCCAGAGGUCCAGCCCUGCAUUUUCCAGGGUUGUGAUCUUUGCGUUUCGUCUCCUCAGCUGCAAGAUGAGUCACGGUUCUACUUCCCCUGGAAGGGCAGAAGUUGCAUAAGAUUGUUGAGGCUCAAGCGAGAUAAUGUGUGAGGCUGUUACUCCAGACUAGAGCCUUGAUUUUUAAACUUCAGCGUGCAUCAGAAUCGCCUGGAAGGUUUGUUAGAACCCCGCCCCCAGAGUUUCUCCUUCAGGGGGUCCAGGGUGGGCCUGAGAGUUUCUGAAGUGUUCCCAGGGGUUGCCGAUGCUGCUAGUCCAGGCACUAUAUUUAGGGAACCCCCGUCCUAAAGCCUCACCAAUUGAAUCUCCUAAGAUGAUGAAGAUGGCCUACAUCUGUGCUGUCCUAAACGGUAGCCAACAGCCACACGUGGCUACUGAGAACUCGGAGUGUGGCUAGCACGCCUGAGGACCCGAAUUUAAAAAACAGUUAAUUUUAAUUAACUUAAAUUUAAAUAGCCACGUAUGGUUGGUGGCCAGCGUUUUGGACAGUGUUGUUCUAGAGCUCAUCUGAGUUUGCAGAUGAAGAAACCGAGGCUUUGAGAGGUACCUCCCCUCCCUUGGAGUCUCAUGGCAAUCCUGGGGUGGUGCUCCGGCUGGCUGGCCUUCUUGAACAGGUCCUGUGAUAUGGGAACAUUUGAGUGCUUUGGGGGUGUCUUUGUUGCUUUGAGUUCCAGGUAGCUGAAAGGAGUGGGCUGGAAGGGGACGGGGAGACCCAUUUGCUGGCUCAUGACAAAGAUGAGAGCUGCAGACACAGCGCACAGCGGCAGGAAAAGGCUAAAUGAAAGAGGAUCAUCAGAGCGAAUCACGCUACUGCUCAGAAUGACCAGCUCUUCGGGAUUGAAGAAAGCUUCCUUCAUCCUGUCCUUGGCCUCCGUGGUCAAAGAGCUUCAGGGGCCUUGCUGACCUCCUUCCUCUCCAUUUUGCUGUGCCCUCUCACUGUCCCUGAACUUGAGAUCCUGGAGGUUUAGCUGUGCUCUGGGUCCCUUGAAGACUUCGGAGGCAAUCCACUAAGAAAUGGGGAUUUAAGUGAGACAUGAAGAAGAACUUCCUUAUGGCAAGAACUAUAAGAUGUUGAAGACAAGACACAGUAUUGGGAGUAAAGGCGGUGAGGCACGGAAAUAUAUUUACCAACACCCAGGGAACCGAGUCUUCUCCCCCAGGAUCCCUGCUCUGCUCGUUCAGGGCAGGAAUCCCAGCCAGCACAAGGCCCAGGGCUGCUGAGUGAACUCACUAGCUAGCUAGUCACUGAGCAACAGAGUCUGGAGUCUGGGUCCCCUGAUGCCCAGUCUUGAGCUCUUUCAUGUCCUCCAUUCCUCACUCAGUUGACACGAAGGCACUGGGGCCUGAAGGACACGGAACAGGUGAGGCCAGUCCCCCUGCUUGAACAGCUCUGUGUAGGAAAGGAGAUGACUCCCUCUCCCCUCUCCCCUCUCCCCACGGUCUCCCUCUCCCUCUCUUUCCCCGGUCUCCCUCU